AUGAGAUGUCAGGGGAGACGAGAGGGACAUCACCUCACAGCAAGGAGGGGGGAGAAAGGCCAGGCUUCCAUCUAUUCUGAUUCUUCGUCGACAGGCGAAUCGGACGACCGACCGGUCCGAUUCGUCGAAGCCGAAAGGAGCCCCACAGUUGCUGCCCACCACAGGAAGAUCUGCCUCCAAUUCUGCUCCACCCACAUGCACCAUAUCACCGGAGAAACCAACAGCACAAUCUACAGGCUACAGCAACAGGGGAACAGCAGAAUGAGACCAGCACCGGGACCUCUUUUCUUCUCCGGCAAAAAUUUGCGGUGGUGA
rnacentral:rRNA from 1 species